AUUGAACGCUGGCGGCAGGCCUAACACAUGCAAGUCGAACGGUAACAGGAAGAAGCUUGCUUCUUUGCUGACGAGUGGCGGACGGGUGAGUAAUGUCUGGGAAACUGCCUGAUGGAGGGGGAUAACUACUGGAAACGGUAGCUAAUACCGCAUAACGUCGCAAGACCAAAGAGGGGGACCUUCGGGCCUCUUGCCAUCGGAUGUGCCCAGAUGGGAUUAGCUAGUAGGUGGGGUAACGGCUCACCUAGGCGACGAUCCCUAGCUGGUCUGAGAGGAUGACCAGCCACACUGGAACUGAGACACGGUCCAGACUCCUACGGGAGGCAGCAGUGGGGAAUAUUGCACAAUGGGCGCAAGCCUGAUGCAGCCAUGCCGCGUGUAUGAAGAAGGCCUUCGGGUUGUAAAGUACUUUCAGCGGGGAGGAAGGGAGUAAAGUUAAUACCUUUGCUCAUUGACGUUACCCGCAGAAGAAGCACCGGCUAACUCCGUGCCAGCAGCCGCGGUAAUACGGAGGGUGCAAGCGUUAAUCGGAAUUACUGGGCGUAAAGCGCACGCAGGCGGUUUGUUAAGUCAGAUGUGAAAUCCCCGGGCUCAACCUGGGAACUGCAUCUGAUACUGGCAAGCUUGAGUCUCGUAGAGGGGGGUAGAAUUCCAGGUGUAGCGGUGAAAUGCGUAGAGAUCUGGAGGAAUACCGGUGGCGAAGGCGGCCCCCUGGACGAAGACUGACGCUCAGGUGC
rnacentral:rRNA from 1 species